rnacentral:rRNA from 1 species
UACGUAGGGUGCAAGCGUUAAUCGGAAUUACUGGGCGUAAAGCGUGCGCAGGCGGUGAUGUAAGACAGAUGUGAAAUCCCCGGGCUCAACUUGGGAACUGCAUUUGUGACUGCAUCGCUGGAGUGCGGCAGAGGGAGAUGGAAUUCCGCGUGUAGCAGUGAAAUGCGUAGAUAUGCGGAGGAACACCGAUGGCGAAGGCAAUCCCCUGGGCCUGCACUGACGCUCAUGCACGAAAGCGUGGGGAGCAAACAGG